rnacentral:piRNA from 1 species
UCUAAUGACAGGAUCCCAGAAAGUGGUGGAA